rnacentral:rRNA from 1 species
UACGUAGGGGGCGAGCGUUAUCCGGAAUUAUUGGGCGUAAAGAGUGCGUAGGUGGUUGUUUAAGCGUGGGGUGAAAGGCAAUGGCUUAACCAUUGUGAGCCUCGCGAACUGGGCGACUUGAGUGCAGGAGAGGAAAGCGGAAUUCCUAGUGUAGCGGUGAAAUGCGUAGAUAUUAGGAGGAACACCAGUGGCGAAGGCGGCUUUCUGGACUGUAACUGACACUGAGGCACGAAAGCGUGGGGAGCAAACAGG